AAACAAAAAGCGCCGGGACCGUAAGAUUGGCAUUAUAGGUUGACGAGGAUGGGGAGUAUCGAAACAUUCGGCGGAUGCCCCAAGGCAGAAAAGCACUGCCGGGAAAACCAAAAACACGGAGUAAUCCGUGAACAAAGAG
rnacentral:ncRNA from 1 species